rnacentral:rRNA from 1 species
UACGGGGGGGGGCAAGCGUUUGUUCGGAAUUACUGGGCGUAAAGGGCUCGUAGGCGGCCAACUAAGUCAGACGUGAAAUCCCUCGGCUUAACCGGGGAACUGCAUCUGAUACUGGAUGGCUUUGAGUUCGGGAGAGGGAUGCGGAAUUCCAGGUGUAGCGGUGAAAUGCGUAGAUAUCAGGAGGAACACCGGUGGCGAAGGCGGGUCUCUGGGCCGAAAACUGACGCUGAGGAGCGAAAAGCGUGGGGGAGCAAAACAGG